CCCUUAGACGCUCUAGGCGGCACGCGCGCUACAAUGGGUGGUAGAACGUGUAACUGCUCCCGAAAGGGAGGGUGAACCACGAAUACUUACCCGUGAAUGGGGUAGUUUGUUGCAAUUUUCGGACUUGAACUAGGAAUCCCUUGUAAGAAUGCUCAAGAAUAGCGUGCUGAAUACGUCCCUGCCGUUUGUACACACCGCCCGUCGUUUCUUCCGACUGAUACUCAUUGUGAGUUGCAAGGAUUCUUAUUGAAAAAUUGCUGCGAAUGCUUUGUAUUGGAGGAAGAAAAAGUCGUAACA
rnacentral:rRNA from 1 species